rnacentral:lncRNA from 1 species
GCUGCCUGCGCGCCGGUAGAUUCUUAUCUCUGUCUAAUUUUUUCUCUGUCCUUGGCAUUAACAAACUUAUUCAGUGCUCCAGACUCCGGCUAUUUUCAGUGUUGUUUUGUCGAAUGUCAAUCAUAUAUUUGUUGUAGGCUUUAGCUAGUUUAGUUCUAGUUAAUAUGUUGCUACUAGCUAGUUCUGGUUAUAUGCUCACGAACUAAUUUCUGUCCUUGUUAUUAUUUGUAGAAAUGAAGAGAAAGACUUUGCACAGUCGGUUUGCAAGCAGGUCAAAUAUGCUCCCUUCUGUUCUUGAAUCCAAUGCUGUCCCAAUUCAUGCCUUACUAUAUCACUAACAAUUGUGCUAAUUUGGACUGAUGGCUUGCAGAAUGUCGCUUGCAUUUUGGUGUGGAGGUGUUCUACAACUACAAUAGCAUUAGUAAGAAGCAACACCAAUAUCAUUGUCUUUGUCAUUUUUUGUUGCUUCUCUAGUACUUGAUGUAUUGGUAUGUGAAUUAUAUGAAACUUUGUUGUAUGGUCAAUCAUGCUACUACUGGCUACUAGUAUUGUUCUUGAGAAAUUUCAUGUCAAUUGGAG